AGAACGAACGCUGGCGGCAUGCCUAAUACAUGCAAGUCGAACGAACUCUUCGGAGUUAGUGGCGCACGGGUGCGUAACGCGUGGGAAUCUGCCCUUGGGUUCGGAAUAACAGUUGGAAACGACUGCUAAUACCGGAUGAUGACGAAAGUCCAAAGAUUUAUCGCCCAGGGAUGAGCCCGCGUAGGAUUAGCUAGUUGGUGAGGUAAAGGCUCACCAAGGCGACGAUCCUUAGCUGGUCUGAGAGGAUGAUCAGCCACACUGGGACUGAGACACGGCCCAGACCUCCGUACGGGAGCCAGCAGGUAGGGAAUAUGGACAAGUGGGACAAGCCUAGAUCCGAGUCAAGUGACCGGUCGUAGUAGU
rnacentral:rRNA from 1 species